AUGAACGCUGGCGGCGUGCUUAAGACAUGCAAGUCGAACGGAGUGUGUAGCAAUACUCACUAAGUGGCGAAUGGGUGAGUAACACGUAGGUGACCUGCCCUGAAGUGCGGAAUAACAGUCCGAAAGGAUUGCUAAUACCGCAUGUGGUCCCGGGCGUUAGAGAACCGGGUCUAAAGCAGUAAUGCGCUUCAGGAGGGGCCUGCGGUCCAUCAGCUAGUUGGUAGGGUAAGGCCUACCAAGGCAACGACGGAUAGGGGACCUGAGAGGGUGGCCCC
rnacentral:rRNA from 1 species